GCGAAACUUCUUUCUCUAUUUCGAAUCACUCGUUGUGCUUUUAAUUUUAUCAUCCUUUCGCUUUCUGCAUUUCUUUGUCGAUGCGGUAGCACAAAGUGACAUGGCAAACUGUAAUUGGCAUUAGGUAUAUGAGGUGGCCGAUUGCCUGAUUGAGAUUGUAACCUUUUGUUUUUCUUUUCCUUUUUGUUUCCGUGGGGGGUAGAGCUGCUCACCUGUUACAGGUUUAGCACAAGUAAACA
rnacentral:lncRNA from 1 species